AGAACGAACGCUGGCGGCAUGCCUAACACAUGCAAGUCGAACGUGAUCCAGGCUUCGGCCUGGUGAAAGUGGCAGACGGGUGAGUAACGCGUGGGAACCUGCCCUGUGGUAGGGAAUAACCGUGGGAAACUGCGGCUAAUACCCUAUGAGUCCUUCGGGAGAAAGAUUUAUCGCCAUAGGAGGGGCCCGCGUCGGAUUAGGUAGUUGGUGGGGUAACGGCCUACCAAGCCUUCGAUCCGUAGCUGGUCUGAGAGGAUGAUCAGCCACACUGGGACUGAGAUACGGCCCAGACUCCUACGGGAGGCAGCAGUGGGGAAUAUUGGACAAUGGGGGCAACCCUGAUCCAGCAAUGCCGCGUGGAUGAUGAAGGCCUUCGGGUUGUAAAGUCCGUUUCGGCGGGGAAGAUGAUGACGGUACCGCAGAAGAACGCCCGGACUACGUUCGCGCCAGCAGCCGC
rnacentral:rRNA from 1 species